rnacentral:rRNA from 1 species
UACGAAGGGGCUAGCGUUGUUCGGAAUCACUGGGCGUAAAGGGCGCGUAGGCGGCUUAUAAGUCGGGGUGAAAGCCUGUGGCUCAACCACAGAAUUGCCUUCGAUACUGUAGAGCUUGAGACCGGAAGAGGUAAGUGGAACUGCGAGUGUAGAGGUGAAAUUCGUAGAUAUUCGCAAGAACACCAGUGGCGAAGGCGGCUUACUGG